rnacentral:rRNA from 1 species
ACUCAAAUGAAUUGACGGGGACCCGCACAAGCGGUGGAUCAUGCGGUUUAAUUCGAUGCAACGCGAGGAACCUCACCUGGGCUUGAAAUAUAGCUGCAAAUCUCCAGAAACGGAGACUUCUUAGAGAGUGCUAUGUAGGUGCUGCAUGGUUGUCGUCAGCUCGUGCCGUGAGGUGUACCCUUAAGUGGAGUAACGAGCGCAACCCCUGUUCUGCGUUAUACUUUCGCAGAAGACUGCCCUCGCAAGAGGGAGGAAGGAAGGGACGACGUCAAAUCAGCAUGGCCCUUACGUCCAGGGCAACACGCAUGAUACAAUGGCCGGUACAGAGGGUAGCCAAACCGCAAGGUGGAGCCAAUCCCAAAAAGCCGGUCUCAGUUCGGAUUGGAGUCUGCAACCCGACUCCAUGAAGCCGGAAUCGCUAGUAAAGGCGGAUCAUAACGCCGCCUUGAAUACGUUCUCGGGUCUUGUACACACCGCCCGU